rnacentral:lncRNA from 1 species
GACGGAGUCUUCUUGUGACUCCAGAGACUUCUUUUCUGGCCAACAAGUAUAUGAAAAUGCACCAACCGGGUUUUAGACAUGAACGGGUAGUUGUGGAUGGUUUUGGGCAUUCAGACUUAUUAAUAGGGGAGGAGUCUGAUAAGAAAGUUUUUCCUCACAUAUUAUCUCACAUAAGAUUGGCUGAACAAGGGAAAAAUGGUGUGAUCAGUUCAGGAGAGAAAUACAGCAAAGAGUCCUUAGCUUGGGAAGAUGAUUUCUACUCUGCGUCCAGAGGAUUUGGAAGCAGCUGGUAUUCCCAAAGGAUUGUUGUUUUGUUGAUGUUGUUGUGGGUUGUUAUUAUGUUGAUUUCAUUAUUCCUAUGAUUCAUAAACUACAGCGAGGAAAAGAACCAUUAUGGGGAAUUGCUCAGUUUACGUUUACAGCCGUGAAUAAGAUUUUCAGUGGCAUCAGUGCGCUUGAUGCGUUAGUUUCUGCAGGCAAGGUGGGUAACUGUUGACUCUUAUCAACAGCAUGCAGUCAUCACAGGACUUGCUAGCAAUGAUCAAGAAGGAAGUGGGUUAGUCUUGAGUCAUUAUCAUCCACAACAUCAAAGAAUAUUAAUAAUAAAAGCAGUUGCUCUGCUCUUUGCAACUUUUUUUAAAAAAAAAAAAUUAUAGGAUGUAUUUUGUUCAAAUUUAUUUAAAUUUGCUUGAAGGUAGAAUUAUGCAAGUUGCAGUGAAAAUUUACGAAUAAAUUUAACGACCAACUCAUUCCAAACCGAUGCGGUGGGUUAGCAGUGAUCAGGUUUUAGUAGAUGCGGGCUCAGUUUUUCAAUCGAGCUUAAAUACCCAAAGCUAAUCGGGCUGACUAUGCCGUUCUACCAUUGACAACCUCUAAAGUCCAUCAAUCUCUCUCUUGAGGAAAAACUUCAAUUAACUGAUUAACAGAAUCAUUAUUUACAAGGCAUCUAUGUUCUUUCAAAACUAUCCUUAAUUCAAUCUCUUUCCGCCAAAUCGCUUCUUCUUUAUGAAUAUUUUUUUUUUUUUAAAAAGAAAUAAUACUUCAUUUUAAUGAAUAGGGGACGGCAAAAAAAAGUGAAAUAUUUUUUUCAUCAAAAUAAAUUGAGAUUUGACAUACCAGAAAUUGUUUAAAGGAAGGUUGAAGAAGGGAGAAGUGUCGGUGUUGAGGGGCGAGCUAUUGACAUGCGAACGCGGUAGCCGUACGUGUCACAAAUACCUGCUUCAUUGGAGCCGCCGGCGCAAAACGCUGAGACUCUAUUUUUGUUACACAAGUCGCCUUGGAUCUUCAUCUUCUUAAUUAUUACUAUAAUAAUAAUUAUUAUUAUUAUUGUCAGGUUCUUUAAUUAAUCUCGUCAAUUGUUGAUUCUUCGAUGAUUCAAUUUAAUUUGGUAUAAAAAUAAAGAAAGAAAACAGAUUAUAAUGGGAGAGAGAGAGAGAGAGAGAGAGAGGGAGAAGAGUCAAUAUUGAGUUGUACAAAAA